rnacentral:lncRNA from 1 species
AUGGCCACCUUCAUACCCCUUGUGAAGCCCAAAAUAGUCAAAAAGAGAACCAAGAAAUUCAUCGGGCACCGGUCAGACUGAUAUGUCAAAAUUAAGCGUGACUGGCAGAAACCCAGAGGUAGUGACAACAGGGUUCAUAGAAGGUUCAAGCUCCAGAUCUUGAUGCCCAACAUUACUUAUGGGAGCAACAAAAAAACAAAGCAUAUGCUGCCCAGUGGCUUCCAGAAGUUCCUGGCCCACAAGGUCAAGGAGCAGGAAGUGCUGCUGAUGUGCAACAAAUCUUACUGUGCUGAGAUUGCUCACAAUGUUUCCUCCAACAACCGCAAAGCCAUCAUGGAAAGGGCCACCCCGCUGGCCAUCAGAGUCACCAACCCCAAUGCCAGGCUGUGCAGUGAAGAAAAUGAG